rfam:Nematostella vectensis strain CH2 x CH6 NEMVEscaffold_159_Cont16271, whole genome shotgun sequence.
AGCUUUGCGCAGUGGCAUUACCGUAUCUGAUGAGGUCCAUCCGAGGCGCGGUUAUUGCUGAUUGAAAACUUUUCCCAAUACCCCGCGAGACGACUUGAAACAUAGUCGGCUUUGCAAUUUUUGUGGGCCCUAUUUAGGG